rnacentral:rRNA from 1 species
UAGGGAAUCUUGCGCAAUGGGCGAAAGCCUGACGCAGCCAUGCCGCGUGAAUGAUGAAGGUCUUAGGAUUGUAAAAUUCUUUCACCGGGGACGAUAAUGACGGUACCCGGAGAAGAAGCUCCGGCUAACUUCGUGCCAGCAGCCGCGGUAAUACGAAGGGGGCUAGCGUUGCUCGGAAUUACUGGGCGUAAAGGGCGCGUAGGCGGAUGUUUAAGUUGGGGGUGAAAGCCCGGGGCUCAACCUCGGAAUAGCCUUCAAUACUGGGCAUCUUGAGUACGGGAGAGGUGAGUGGAACUCCGAGUGUAGAGGUGAAAUUCGUAGAUAUUCGGAAGAACACCAGUGGCGAAGGCGACUCACUGGCCCGUUACUGACGCUGAGGCGCGAAAGCGUGGGGAGCAAACAGG